CGGGUUGCGCCCGACGCGCUCGACCGUGAACCUCUCGACCAGCUCGUCGACGGAGAAGAUGUUCGUCUUGUCGUCGUAGCUCCACCCGAGGAGCGCGAGGUAGUUGACCAUCGCCUCGGGCAGUAUUCCGCCGUCGCGGUACGCGCUCACCGCAACGUCUCCCCAUCGCUUCGACAGCGGCCGGCCCUUCUCGUCGACCAGUAGGGGGAGGUGAGCCCACACCG
rnacentral:misc_RNA from 1 species